rnacentral:rRNA from 1 species
GACGAACGCUGGCGGCGUGCCUAAUACAUGCAAGUUGAGCGCUGAAGGUUGGUACUUGUACCGACUGGAUGAGCAGCGAACGGGUGAGUAACGCGUGGGGAAUCUGCCUUUGAGCGGGGGACAACAUUUGGAAACGAAUGCUAAUACCGCAUAAAAACUUUAAACACAAGUUUUAAGUUUGAAAGAUGCAAUUGCAUCACUCAAAGAUGAUCCCGCGUUGUAUUAGCUAGUUGGUGAGGUAAAGGCUCACCAAGGCGAUGAUACAUAGCCGACCUGAGAGGGUGAUCGGCCACAUUGGGACUGAGACACGGCCCAAACUCCUACGGGAGGCAGCAGUAGGGAAUCUUCGGCAAUGGACGAAAGUCUGACCGAGCAACGCCGCGUGAGUGAAGAAGGGUUUCGGAUCGUAAAACUCGGUUGGUAGAGAAGAACGUUGGUGAGAGUGGAAAGCUCAUCAAGUGACGGUAACUACCCAGAAAGGGACGGCUAACUACGUG